rnacentral:SRP_RNA from 14 species
UCCUGCACAGGCCCCUGCGGCCGCUGCGGUGGCGGCGGGGAUAGAAACGCGACUCCGUAC